rnacentral:rRNA from 1 species
UGCUGUGGCGGAGGCCUAACACAUGCAAGUCGAGCGGAAACGAGUUAACUGAACCUUCGGGGAACGUUAACGGCGUCGAGCGGCGGACGGGUGUGUAAUGCCUGGGAAAUUGCCCUGAUGUGGGGGAUAACCAUUGGAAACGAUGGCUGAUACCGCAUAAUAGCUUCGGCUCAAAGAGGGGGACCUUCGGGCCUCUCGCGCCAGGAUAUGCCCAGGUGGGAUUAGCUAGUUGGUGAGGUAAUGGCUCACCAAGGCGACGAUCCCUAGCUGGUCUGAGAGGAUGAUCAGCCACACUGGAACUGAGACACGGUCCAGACUCCUACGGGAGGCAGCAGUGGGGAAUAUUGCACAAUGGGCGCAAGCCUGAUGCAGCCAUGCCGCGUGUAUGAAGAAGGCCUUCGGGUUGUAAAGUACUUUCAGCAGUGAGGAAGGUAUCGUAGUUAAUAGCUGCGGUAUUUGACGUUAGCUGCAGAAGAAGCACCGGCUAACUCCGUGCCAGCAGCCGCGGUAAUACGGAGGGUGCGAGCGUUAAUCGGAAUUACUGGGCGUAAAGCGCAUGCAGGUGGUUUGUUAAGUCAGAUGUGAAAGCCCGGGGCUCAACCUCGGAAUUGCAUUUGAAACUGGCAGACUAGAGUACUGUAGAGGGGGGUAGAAUUUCAGGUGUAGCGGUGAAAUGCGUAGAGAUCUGAAGGAAUACCGGUGGCGAAGGCGGCCCCCUGGACAGAUACUGACACUCAGAUGCGAAAGCGUGGGGAGCAAACAGGAUUAGAUACCCUGGUAGUCCACGCCGUAACGAUGUCUACUUGGAAGGUUGUGGCCCUUGGAGCCGUGGCUUUUCGGAGCUAACGCGUUAAGUAGACCGCCUGGGGGAGUACGGUCGCAGAUUAAAACUCAA